GACGAACGCUGGCGGCGCGCUUAACACAUGCAAGUCGAACGGAAAGGCCUGCUUUCCCUUGUGGAUUGCGGGUACUCGCGUGGCGAACGGGUGAGUAACACGUGAGUGAUCUGCCCCCAACUUGGGUAUAAGCCUGGGAAACUGGGUCUAAUUCCCGAUAGGACUGCAGGGUGGUGCCUGUGGUGGAAAACGAUUUUCUAGUGGUUGGGGAUGAGCUCGCGGCCUAUCAGCUUGUUGGUGGGGUAAUGGCCUACCAAGGCGGCGACGGGUAGCCAGCCUGGGAGGGUGGACGGCCACAUUGGGACUGAGAUACGGCCCAGACUCCUACGGGAGGCAGCAGUGGGGAAUAUGGCACAAUGGGCGGAAGCCUGAUGCAGCGACGCCGCGUGGGGGAUGACGGCCUUCGGGUUGUAAACUCCUUUCGACCGCGAGGAAGCCACCUGGUUGGAAGGGUGGUGACGGUAGUGGUAGAAGAAGCACCGGCUAACUACGUG
rnacentral:rRNA from 1 species